rnacentral:rRNA from 1 species
UCGCAUCUGUGCAUGCAGCAUAUCAAUAAGCGGAGGAAAAGAAACUAACAAGGAUUCCCCUAGUAACGGCGAGUGAAGCGGGAAGAGUUCAAAUUUGAAAUCUUAAAGGGUUUCCCUUUACGAAUUGUAGUUUAAAGAAGUGUUUUCUGUUGAGGUUUUGGUAAAGGUUCUUUGGAAUAGGACAUCAUAGAGGGUGAGAAUCCCGUAUUUGACCUUUACUUUCAACUUUGUGAUACACUUUCAAAGAGUCGGAUUGUUUGGGAAUGCAGUCCAAAAUGGGUGGUAAAUUUCAUCUAAAGCUAAAUAUUGGCGAGAGACCGAUAGCGAACAAGUACCGUGAGGGAAAGAUGAAAAGAACUUUGAAAAGAGAGUUAAACAGUACGUGAAAUUGUCAAAAGGGAAGCGUUUGACACCAGUGUUGUUUUUCUGAAAAUCAAUUAAAGAACUGUUUAUGCUAAGCUGUUUAGACUUUAUCAGCUAUCUGUUUAGUUUUGAGCUUUUCUUUAAUGCACUUUUCAGUUAACAAGUCAACAUCAAUUUCUUUUGCUGUAAAAAAGCUUGAGGAAGGUGGCUUGAGAUUCGUCUUAAGUGUUUAUAGCCUCUUGCCUAUGCAGUCGGAGAGAUUGAGGUCUGCAGCGUAGAUCCUUCGGGGCUAAAUGCAUUUGUGCUAAGUUAUAGCAUUUUAUAGACAACUUGUUGACUAUGAUUUGUCUUGUAGCUUACUCGCUUAUGUUAUUUUACCUACGCUUAGGAUGUUGAAUCUGUGCGAGACUAC